rnacentral:rRNA from 1 species
CACGGGAGCAAUCCUGGUGGCGAGUGGCGAACGGGUGAGUAAUACAUCGGAACGUGUCCUGUAGUGGGGGAUAGCCCGGCGAAAGCCGGAUUAAUACCGCAUACGCUCUACGGAGGAAAGGGGGGGAUCUUNGGACCUCCCGCUACAGGGGCGGCCGAUGGCAGAUUAGCUAGUUGGUGGGGUAAAGGCCUACCAAGGCGACGAUCUGUAGCUGGUCUGAGAGGACGACCAGCCACACUGGGACUGAGACACGGCCCAGACUCCUACGGGAGGCAGCAGUGGGGAAUUUUGGACAAUGGGGGAAACCCUGAUCCAGCAAUGCCGCGUGUGUGAAGAAGGCCUUCGGGUUGUAAAGCACUUUUGUCCGGAAAGAAAACCUCUGGGUUAAUACCCCGGGGGGAUGACGGUACCGGAAGAAUAAGCACCGGCUAACUACGUGCCAGCAGCCGCGGUAAUACGUAGGGUGCAAGCGUUAAUCGGAAUUACUGGGCGUAAAGCGUGCGCAGGCGGUCCGCUAAGACAGAUGUGAAAUCCCCGGGCUUAACCUGGGAACUGCAUUUGUGACUGGCGG